GGGUGCGUUUGUUGCACAGGACUAUCUCGGACUGGACUAGCUUCAAGGACUAAGCUGGACUGGCUUAGACUAGACUAAAUUGGACUAUCUUUGUGAAGCGUUUGAUGCAGUGUCGGACUAAAAAGCAGGAUAAAGAAAAUAAUAAUAAUUAAUUCUGUUUUUUUUUUGUUCUUUUUCUUGUUCUAGAACACUCUCUCUGGACUAAGAAACCUCUCGCUUUCCUCAGCCUUUUUUCCGUCCAAAUUACACAACUUUGGACUAAGAAUCUCUCUUCCCUCUCCCUUUUUUCGUCCAAAUUCCACAACUUUCUCCCUCCAUUUCAAUCAAUAAAGCUUCCAAAUCACAAAACGCAACACAAUAACGAAAUUCAAUUGAAAUCAAAAUCGAAAUCGCAGCUGAGUCUCCUGUAUUCGCGACGGUGACGCUCUGAUUUCGAUUGAAGGCGGAGGAGCUUUGCCUCUUCUCAUCACAUUCGAACGCAGGUGAGAACUCAUCGCUCGAAGCCAAUCACAAUGCAAAGUCUGGAUUUUCUUUUGGAAACGGACGAAUUCCCCCAAUUCAAUUCCAAUCAGGGUAAACCCUACGUCCCAAUUGGACCAAAUCGUAACCCCUUAUGCUCUGAAUUCAGGUUUCAGCGAUCCAACCCCAGACGAGGAAGAGGAUGAGGGCGCACCAGUCGGCGAGGUCGUCAGGACACGAGCAACUCUUUGUCUAAGAUGGUCUUAGCAGUCCGCCCAUAUACGGGGGGCCUCGCCAAGAACAUUUAGCGAAGGUGUUAGUCCCUGCGAGUCCCCUCUAAGCUCAUUAAACGUAAUCCCGGACUGCAACAAACACGGGACUGCACUGCUAAAUAGUCCAGUCCAGCCUAGUGAAGGCUAGUGAUGCCAAACAAACACACCCU
rnacentral:lncRNA from 1 species